UUAAUUUAUUAUAUAAUGCUCAGACGACAUAGUAUAAAUGAGUUUUAAGGUCUUAUGGCAGACACUAACUAGCAGUAGCCAGUAGUCAAAAGACGGGCCUGCCAAAGCAACAAAAGUAUUAUAAACAUAGGGUGGGAGAUAUACCCAAUGGGCAUUUUCUCUGUAAUGAUCCUUCCGCAGGUUCACCUACGGAAA
rnacentral:misc_RNA from 1 species